AUGAUUUCACUUGAAUGUGGAUUGAUAGAAGGGACUAAAAAUCUCUUAGCUCAUGCUACUGAUUACUAUAAGACCCUCUUCGGACCAGCCCCUGGUAAUCUAUGCCAUAUAGAGGGAAACUUUUGGUUUCAAGAGGAGAAAAUCUCUCCUGAGGAUAAUGAUGACUUGACCCAGCCUUUUUCUAUUGAUGAAAUUAAAAAGGCUCUGUUUGAUAUGAAAUCUAACUGUGCCCCUGGACCGGAUAAUAUCCCUGUCAAAUUCUAUCAACAUUGUUGGGAAGUUGUAGCCCCAGACUUAUUUGCCUGGUUUGAAUGGUUUUAUGAGGGGAGACUGGAUGUGCAAAGACUGAAUUAUGGCAUUAUUACUCUAUUUCCCAAGUCAAUUGAUGCUAGUAAAAUCCAGCAAUAUAGACCGAUUUGCUUAUUACAUUGCCCAUACAAGCUUAUUGCCAAGUUAUGGACAUUAGGGCUAGUAAAUGUGCUCAUAAGCUGUUUAGCAUACAACAAAAUGCUUUCAUCAAGGGGAGACAUAUAG
rnacentral:rRNA from 1 species